GAUUGAAUGGCUUAGUGAGACCUCCGGAUUGAUAAAUAGUUUCUGGUUUCAGAAGUUGUUUGUUGAGAAGUUGGUCAAACUUGGUCAUUUAGAGGAAGUAAAAGUCGUAACAAGGUAACCGUAGGUGAACCUGCGGUUGGAUCAUUA
rnacentral:rRNA from 1 species